rnacentral:rRNA from 1 species
AACAGCACUUCGGUGGCUGACGAGUGGCGCACGGGUGCGUAACGCGUAUACAAUCUGCCUCCUACAGGGGAAUAGCCCAGAGAAAUUUGGAUUAAUGCCCCAUGGCAUAUAUUUUCGGCAUCGUUAAUAUAUUAAAGAUUCAUCGGUAGGAGAUGAGUAUGCGUUCUAUUAGCUAGUAGGUGCGGUAACGGCGCACCUAGGCGACGAUAGAUAGGGGCCCUGAGAGGGGGAUCCCCCACACUGGUACUGAGACACGGACCAGACUCCUACGGGAGGCAGCAGUGAGGAAUAUUGGACAAUGGGCGAGAGCCUGAUCCAGCCAUGCCGCGUGCAGGAAGACUGCCCUAUGGGUUGUAAACUGCUUUUAUACGGGAAGAAACACUCCCUCGUGAGGGGGCUUGACGGUACCGUAAGAAUAAGGAUCGGCUAACUCCGUGCCAGCAGCCGCGGUAAUACGGAGGAUCCAAGCGUUAUCCGGAAUCAUUGGGUUUAAAGGGUCCGUAGGUGGACGGUUAAGUCAGAGGUGAAAUCCUGCAGCUCAACUGUAGAAUUGCCUUUGGUACUGGUCGUCUUGAGUCAUUGUGAAGUGGUUGGAAUAUGUAGUGUAGCGGUGAAAUGCAUAGAUAUUACAUAGAACACCGAUUGCGAAGGCAGAUCACUAACAAUGUACUGACACUGAUGGACGAAAGCGUGGGGAGCGAACAGGAUUAGAUACCCUGGUAGUCCACGCCGUAAACGAUGGUCACUAGCUGUCCGGACCUUGUGUCUGGGUGGCUAAGCGAAAGUGAUAAGUGACCCACC